UACGUAGGGGGCAAGCGUUGUCCGGAAUUAUUGGGCGUAAAGAGCGCGCAGGUGGUUGAUUAAGUCUGAUGUGAAAGCCCACGGCUUAACCGUGGAGGGUCAUUGGAAACUGGUCGACUUGAGUGCAGAAGAGGGAAGUGGAAUUCCAUGUGUAGCGGUGAAAUGCGUAGAGAUAUGGAGGAACACCAGUGGCGAAGGCGGCUUCCUGGUCUGUAACUGACACUGAGGCGCGAAAGCGUGGGGAGCAAACAGGAUUAGAUACCCCU
rnacentral:rRNA from 1 species